rnacentral:lncRNA from 1 species
AGUAUUUGAUUUCUUUCCCCUGUUUCAAGUUGCAGCCUCGCCCCUCUCGCUCUCGCGGCUCUCGGCGGAUCGGCGUUCAGUGAAAGCUAAAAGCCUAAAACCCUAGUUCGAACCUCUACUAGCCGGCGACAGCGGCGGUGGAGCGCGGGAUACCCGGAGAUGCCAGCGCCGUCUGCGGUUGCGUCGGCCGUAGAGAGGCUACAGGCAGCGGCGCAGGACGCCGCCAAGUCCUCGUCGCGCUCGGCCGGCGCCUUCUCCGAGCAGGCGCAGCAGGCCCUCGUGUCCAGGACCGCCGGUUGAAGCAAACAGUGUUUAUCCUUGAACUGCAAAUGUGUAACAAAAUAUGGAGACCACGCCAAUGUCGCUCUAUGGCUAUCAAUGUUAGGAAACCUGAGCUCAGCGUCAGCUAUACAUUAUUCAUAAUGUACAUGGACUAUACGGGUUGUUUCUCUGUCAACAUGUGCAAAGGUCAGUGCCAUUAGCUUUGCGAUUGGUGUUGUGGCAGGGUUCACACUCAAGAAAAGGCUGCGCAGAUGGGCUGCUAGACUGCUGAAGAGAAUUAAGGACGACGACUAUUGACUAAUGCGAUCUUUUCCUCAUUGUCUUUGGAGUUUGUUCAGAAAUCAGAACUAUGGCUACUACGUACCUCAGCAUCUUGUGUAGCCAACUGUUUUUGUGCCUCCACAUAUUUGCUAUGAAUGCUGGUAUAUGAUAAUAUGAACCAUCAGAAGUUCAUCACAUUACAGCAUCGUGAAAUGUGCAAAUGGUGAUACAAUGUCGCCAACGACAGUAUGAUCGUGCCAUGCUCUCUGGUGUCCUUCGUC